GGGGAUUUAGCUCAGUGGCAUAAGCACCUGCCUGGCAAGCAUGAAUCCCCA
rnacentral:tRNA from 1 species